rnacentral:rRNA from 1 species
CCGACGGGUGAGUAACACGUAUGCAAUCCACCUGUAACAGGGGAGUAACCGAGAAUCGACUAAUACCCAUAAUAUGGGCGCUCCGCAUGGAGAGUCCAUUAAAGAGAGCAAUCUUGGUUACAGACGAGCAUGCGCUCCAUUAGCCAGUUGGCGGGGUAACGGCCCACCAAGGCGACGAUGGAUAGGGGUUCUGAGAGGAAGGUCCCCCACAUUGGAACUGAGACACGGUCCAA